rnacentral:rRNA from 1 species
UACGUAGGGUGCGAGCGUUGUCCGGAAUUACUGGGCGUAAAGAGCUCGUAGGUGGUUUGUCGCGUUGUUCGUGAAAACUCACAGCUUAACUGUGGGCGUGCGGGCGAUACGGGCAGACUGGAGUACUGCAGGGGAGACUGGAAUUCCUGGUGUAGCGGUGGAAUGCGCAGAUAUCAGGAGGAACACCGGUGGCGAAGGCGGGUCUCUGGGCCGAUAUCGACGCUGAGGAGCGAAAGCCGUGGGUAGCAAACAGG